rnacentral:rRNA from 1 species
UUUUAUGGAGAGUUUGAUCCUGGCUCAGGAUGAACGCUGGCGGCGUGCCUAAUACAUGCAAGUCGAGCGAACAGAUGAGGAGCUUGCUUCUCUGACGUUAGCGGCGGACGGGUGAGUAACACGUGGAUAACCUACCUAUAAGACUGGGAUAACUUCGGGAAACCGGAGCUAAUACCGGAUAAUAUAUUGAACCGCAUGGUUCAAUAGUGAAAGACGGUUUUGCUGUCACUUAUAGAUGGAUCCGCGCCGCAUUAGCUAGUUGGUAAGGUAACGGCUUACCAAGGCAACGAUGCGUAGCCGACCUGAGAGGGUGAUCGGCCACACUGGAACUGAGACACGGUCCAGACUCCUACGGGAGGCAGCAGUAGGGAAUCUUCCGCAAUGGGCGAAAGCCUGACGGAGCAACGCCGCGUGAGUGAUGAAGGUCUUCGGAUCGUAAAACUCUGUUAUUAGGGAAGAACAAAUGUGUAAGUAACUAUGCACGUCUUGACGGUACCUAAUCAGAAAGCCACGGCUAACUACGUGCCAGCAGCCGCGGUAAUACGUAGGUGGCAAGCGUUAUCCGGAAUUAUUGGGCGUAAAGCGC